rnacentral:lncRNA from 1 species
CCUUUAGCUGCGUGAUUGUGAGCCGUUUGAUAGGAGAGCAAUAAACCCAGCUGAAACAAACAAUUUCAAACCACGGCCUUUGCAUAUUCACAAUCAUCAGAUGGCUAUGGCCUUUCAUCAUUGUCAGAAGCUUUUCGCCAUUUGUUCCGAGACGCUGACAGAAAGUGUUUUCCAAAUUCAUUACGGAAUUGCGGUGUCGAUCUACAUUUUCAGCCAUGAAAUGGUAAUGCUAUAGUUUGGAUUUCUUAAAUUUAAUUUAUCUUAGACGUUUUUGUCUGAAUUUACUGGCAAUCUGGGAUAUUAUUUCACUUGGCCAAAUAAUGUGACGACUUGGGUCGAAACUGCUGUCCAAUGUCGGCCAUUGUUAGCUGUACCUAAACGGCUGUACGUCUCAUCUCGUGCAGAAACACUUCAGACAGUCUAAUAAAGUCAGAGAUGGAGAUCCCUUUGCUCUACUGUUGUAGAAAUUGAGAACACAGCAAAGUCUGAGCUUCAAGGCAGUUGUUUCAUCAACAUGGAUUUGUUACAGCCAGCUGGUGAAAGAUGUGAUCGAGCCAAGUUGAGCUGCAGCUGCUGCAUGAAGUUUAUAAAGCUGGUGUCAUCCCAAGUGUCACUGCAGGAAAACUUCUUGAAUCGGAGUUAAUUGGAUGUUUGAGCUGUUUAUGGUGUUGCUGUUUGGUGUUCAGUGGUUUUGCAGCCCCUUUCCAAUUGAGAGAUGCUCUGAAAUGGAGUUUGGUGCAGACUUGCAGGUCAACAUCACACUUAAAUCGACUUAAAUGUGCAUUUGCCUAUGUUGGUGUUCAUGCAGUAUAUGCCGUGUUGAACGGAUGGUUAAAAUAGUUCAUGCUGCCUGAUGGUUGUCCAACAGUGACGGCCCGGACAAUCCUGAAUCCUUUAGGGUAGCCAUUCCAUCGACGCUUAAACGAGGAUGACGCGGAGGUGUUGCCCAUUGAGGGGUUUUUGUGACAAGGAGUCACUGAACGAAACGCUAAACCAAAUGAAAAAAAUAAGAAAGCCAACGAUCCUUUAUAUAUCCGAGCCGAGUCUUUUCCGUCUACAUUCGGUGUGAAGAGAAAAACCCAAAUUUCAACACAUUUUACUGCUUAGCAACGAAAACAAAGCGAGUGUCUAAACAUUGUUUUACUUGCGCAUACUUUAUUGGGGCAGAAACGCGUUGGUCAUGUAAUAGGGUGGAAUUUUUUUUCCUUUCGUUCAUGCAGCAUCAAACGACACGCGAUAGGUUCCGGCGGUAAUCAACUAUUCAAGAUGGUAGACAUGUCAAUGUAAAAGACAGGAUUUUCUUCUCCGACCGCAGGUGCAAGGAAUAUGUUUGAAACUUAGAAAAGUUUGCAGUAGAAUAUUU